AGACCCGAAACCCGGUGAUCUAGCCAUGGGCAGGUUGAAGGUUGGGUAACACUAACUGGAGGACCGAACCGACUAAUGUUGAAAAAUUAGCGGAUGACCUGUGGCUGGGGGUGAAAGGCCAAUCAAACCGGGAGAUAGCUGGUUCUCCCCGAAAGCUAUUUAGGUAGCGCCUCGUGAAUUCAUCUCCGGGGGUAGAGCACUGUUUCGGCUAGGGGGCCAUCCCGGCUUACCAACCCGAUGCAAACUGCGAAUACCGGAGAAUGUUAUCACGGGAGACACACGGCGGGUGCUAACGUCCGUCGUGAAGAGGGAAACAACCCAGACCGCCAGCUAAGGUCCCAAAGUCAUGGUUAAGUGGGAAACGAUGUGGGAAGGCCCAGACAGCCAGGAUGUUGGCUUAGAAGCAGCCAUCAUUUAAAGAAAGCGUAAUAGCUCACUGGUCGAGUCGGCCUGCGCGGAAGAUGUAACGGGGCUAAACCAUGCACCGAAGCUGCGGCAGCGACACUCAGGUGUUGUUGGGUAGGGGAGCGUUCUGUAAGUCUGCGAAGGUGGCCUGUGAGGGUUGCUGGAGGUAUCAGAAGUGCGAAUGCUGACAUAAGUAACGAUAAAGCGGGUGAAAAGCCCGCUCGCCGGAAGACCAAGGGUUCCUGUCCAACGUUAAUCGGGGC
rnacentral:rRNA from 1 species